rnacentral:rRNA from 1 species
UACGUAGGGGGCAAGCGUUGUCCGGAUUUAUUGGGCGUAAAGAGCGUGUAGGCGGUUUGGUAGGUCCGUUGUGAAAAUCCGAGGCUCAACCUCGGACUUGCAGUGGGUACGGGCAGACUAGAGUGUGGUAGGGGAGACUGGAAUUCCUGGUGUAGCGGUGGAAUGCGCAGAUAUCAGGAGGAACACCGGUGGCGAAGGCGGGUCUCUGGGGCAGUAACUGACGCUGAGGAGCGAAAGCGUGGGGAGCGAACAGG